GUAUGACAGGUUGUUUGUGAUGCCACUCUACAAAUUAUGGAUUUGGUGGCUAGAUGGAGAGGCAGUACACACGACUCUCGCCAAUGAUUUCAAAAGGAAGGAUAGGCCCUUCAGAACAUUUUACUCAAACCUUCUUCAUACAAGCAAAAUAACUGUCAUCUGUCAUAAUUUGUUUGAACUAUGUCAGUGCCUAGCAACUGUCUUGACGACGUAACCUUGUACGUGCGUUAAUAAUUUACCAUCCUGGACAUUGUUUUAUUAUUUGCAGGCGCCAUAUCAAUAAUUUAAGACAAAUCCAACUACUAAAAUUAAAACUGUUUUGGGCUGUAGACCUGUUGAGCGUCCCGUACAAAUGGACUAAAAAACUUAAGUGUGUGCAACAAGAAAAUGUUCUCGGAGGAUAGUCAACAAAAAGAUUCACAAGACCAUCUCUCGGCCACAGACAACUGUCGACUGAGGAGCGUUGGCCCUAAAAUUACGAUUUUAGGGCCAACGCGCGGGUGCCAUUUUUUUGAGUGGGAGGCCCUGUCCUUACGCUAGUAAUAUAUAUGUCAAUGACUCUCGCAUAUUCACGGAGUCCUCCAUCAAGCAAAGAUUCGAAAGGGGAGAAUUUAUGGGCAGGCUCUUAGGGGACUCUGGGUAUAGGUUGGAGCCGUACCUAUUUAACAACGCUUUUAAUGCCUAUUGCACGGGAUGUCGGUGAAAAUGGAGAAUAUCAAGCCAACAAUCGUAGCUCUGGCUAUACUUCAUAAUAUUGCGAUUAAGCGAGAAGGCCAGAUAGAUUUUGAUGCGGAGGAGCAGCUACAUCAUCCAGCACUGCCAGAAGAGGAUGCCCACAUUGAGGGAGGCCACAUGGCCAACAUUAAUAAUGCAUUUUUAAGAGCAUAUGUUGCUCGUCAUUUUAAUAAUUAAAAAGAUAGACUAAGGUAGGUACUUUUACUGCCAAUGUCCUUUGGAAAUACUCUUGUAGGAAUUACACUAAUACUUACCACACAUAAAUUGAGAUUUCUAGUCGGUAUUGCAUUUGCAACAUUAAUCUAAAUUCAAAACUAUGCACAUGCACAUACUUUAUUGUUUUAUAGAUUCCCAAAAGACAUUAAGGAAAUAGAAGCACUACUGUACAUCAGGAAGGUUUUAUUUUGUUUCCCUAAUUUCCUAGCAAUAAUGAGAGUCCAUAAUAAAAAGCUUUAUUUUA